UUGUCUUACACGAGGUGGCUUACAGAGAGUAAGACGUCAAGAAGCCGAGGAUCAACGAUUGUUCAGUGAGUGACUCGCGCCCAGCCUACUUUGGGCUUCGCGUCUGCGUGUUCCCAAUUAAUUCCCGAAGCCCUGUCAAACAGACUGGCAAAAGGCAAUGACAAGUCCUCCUCUCCUGGCCAAUCCUAUAAAAGGAUGGGCUUGGCUCAUAAACCAAUCAGAGACCCCCAAGGGGGCGGAGUUUUCUUUGGCCUGGAUCUCUGCCUGAGGGGUAAAACUAAAACGUUUCCACCUCCAGCCAAUCCCAGAGAAGGCAGGAGCGCACUCCUCCAAUGGGAGCCCGAGAGCGGUCAGUGGCCGUGGAGGCCUGCUACCCCCGCUAGCUCUCCAGCCCGCCGGAGGGACGCUAGAUCCAGCCGCCGGCCCCUUGAAUCUGCUCCCCCUCGGCAGCGGUGGCGCGGAGGGCAGGAGGUGUCUGGUGAGACGGUCAGCGGGUAUCGGAGGAUCGUGCGGGUAGCAAAGGGAUGGCGAGUGCCCCUGCAGCCCCAGACAACAACCAGGUGUCCUUUUUCUCUGGAUGCUUUGAAGAUCCUUCUUUGA
rnacentral:lncRNA from 12 species